UGGAAAGUCACUGUGCCUCCUCCAGGUC
rnacentral:piRNA from 1 species